UCCUGCUGCAUUCUUAGUUUAUACAAUGCCAUUAGGCUGACUGUCAUCUCUUUUGUGUUGUUACUUGCAGUUAUUUUAUAUACUGGGAGUAGUUGAUAUGGUGCAGGGCAAGGCUGCCAUCAUCCCAGAAGGAAUGAACAAGAAUCUGGGUGACAGGAGCAUCAUGAAGUUCAAGAAUUCAAACGUGAAGUCCUGCACCUUGUAAACAGUGACACCAUGCAGCAGUACAAACUGGGGACAGGCUGGCUAGAAACUAGCUUUAUAUAAGAGGACCUAGAGGUCAUGAUGGACAUCGAGCUAAAUGUGAGUCAAGAAUGUGCCACUGCAUGAGUGAGAGCCAAGCACAGAAGACACUGGGCUGCAUUAGUAACAGCAGAGGCAGCAGGUUGAGAUAGCCAGCAGAGGUGAAUAUUGCACCCCUCUGAGGAGAAGAAAAUCCCACAGGCAAGCAGAGAGCAAGAUUGACAUUUCUCAUUAUUUCUGUACUGCAGGUAUUGCAGAGAAACAUUCAUUAUUCUUGAAGCAGAAUCUGGGGAAGCUCUGUCUCAGCAUACAUGACCUCUGUACAAAGAAAAAGGUUGCGUUGUGCCUGAGGAACAAAGCUCUGGAAUUAAAGUCUGUAACAGCUAAGAUAUGCUGGGCCAUGGAGCAUCUCUGCAAGCCUCCAAAUAGCCCACAGGAAAAUCUCAGAAGGACCCUGUGAGUGGCAGUUAUGUAAGACAAAACUUGAUCCAAGCCAUUGAGUGCCAUAUCCUAGAGAUGGGAGAAAAUGGCAGGUGUGAUGAACUGGGGCUGGUUGUGUUCAUGGAGUUUUUGUGCUGUCUGGAGUUUCCUCACUUGGAAGGCUUCAUAUGUUGCUAUUUUGCAUUGCUCUGGACAUGAUGAAAAGUAGGAAAGCACAAACAAGUGAACCCAGAGCAUCAUAAAGCAGCCUGGAAUGAAAUUUUUGGUGUAGUGGAGGCAACAGAAAACACCACUGAGAGGCACCAGUGAGCAGCUUUAGUGACAGUGAGCACACUGGAAAUGCUCGCAGACUGGUUGGGUUUGAUGCCUGCUUCUUUGAGGCUGCAAAAGCUGUCCAGAAAUUAUCUAGAGUUUCACUGAAGGCACCCUAGGAGUGUUUCAGCUGAUUUGCAGAUGACUUCUAGCUUUGGUCUGAAGCCAUGGGAAAUGAGAAUUUAUGUUAUAUGUUCCUACCAGCUGAGAAAAAAGCUGGAGUGACAUCAGGCUGGAGAAUGUAGUGUAGGUGUGCAUAAAGAGACAUGGGAGAAUUCACCUCCUUGGAGAGAUGUGAUCCCAGUGCCAGGAAGGAGUCCUGUGGCACCCACUAACAGGAGGAGCUGGAAUCCUGAGCUUGUAUAUACCUGGGGGAAAACAGGAAAAACACUUUCAUGUCUCUAUAGAGCAUUUCAGGCAAGCCAGAAGUUUGUACUCAGGUGGAUAAGUAGUCAAGUAUCAUUAAUAAAUGUAGCUCUUAUCCAUAACCUUGCCAAACUCAUUUUGUAACACAGCCGUAACCAUGC